ACAACGCACGAGACACCUUUUAGUCACGUUUUAAUUACGACUGCUAACAUAUCGAUUUUGUAGAUGUGACCGUAAAAUAUGGUUCCUUAUCCCAGUUUGAUUAUAGAUCCCGUGACUCCGGGGGGCCUAAUAUUUUGGCAGACCUACGCUCCUCCUUCCUUGAUUAACUGCAGGUUAGAAAGUUGUGCUUUCAGCUUCAAAGCGUAGGUGUUUCUCAGAGUAUGAGGUUUUUCUUAAUUGGAAAGCAAUUAUGAAUACAUUAAUCCAACCUUUCAUUACUUAGCGGAGGUACUCUGAUCGUUAAUUAAAAAAUAACACAGAACCGCGCUGUCGCUAAGCUGCUCAGAAAUGCUAGCCGCUUAUUUAUAUUUUUAUUGAAGAACACGAAAUUGGCACGCCAGGGAUACUACUAAGGGUGUACAUCUUCUCCGAAAGGAGCGAAAGGAUAGCACUCAUGUUCAAAGAACUGUUUCACUCCGUUGGCGUAAAUGUUUUCUGACAGGACGAGCCCCCAGCGGCAUUGUGGGAACCUGAGGCGAUCGUGGACACGACGGCUUGAACACCGGCGAUGUCGAGAGAGAUACGGGUAAUGGCAGCCCGACGAGUUAGCGGCGGACAAUGGGGAGAACGAAAGCAGAAGAACGGGUUCUCUCUCCGUUAAAAGGACAGCACAAUGGGCUGUGCUCCCGUAGCCGACGCCCACCGUGCGCCGAUCGGUCACUUCUGACGCUCAAGGACUCUGGCGUCGCUAAUCACAAAGCCAAUCUCAUCCCCGCUUUAAAAAUAGCCUCCCGAAACACUGACACUUCAUUUUCCAAAGUCACAGAUGCGCUGAAGUAUCGAUCUUAUCCUCUCCAUUAACAAAUGAGCGCUGGACGGUCGUCAUUACUGGAGGAAAAUAAGAAUCUCAGGCUUUUUUUUACGCUAAACAGAAAUCAGUCUUAUUGCUGUAUAUUGUUCAUCGACAGCUAUAUUGCAGUUGCUAGAUUUUGUGCAAGUUUGACUCUUAAUGUACUCUUAGACUCUUAGAAAACAGUAUAUACGGCUAAGAAUGUUAAUAAAUCAUGACAAUGUGAUAAAUCUCAC